CAAACUUCAAUGCAUUUGUUGUUUUUGUUGGUGUUGUUGAUAUUUUUUGUGACAAACCAACAGAAAGCAAUGCAAAAUUAGAAGAAGGUAAUGGUGGUUAAUAUUUGUUUUACAAUCAAAUUUAGAAAGUUUUGCCAUAUAUUUGUUUUUGUAAAUAUUUUAUAGAUCAAUUUUAGCUGCAAUUUUCAUCUCCUGCUCUUUUAUAGAAAAUAGCUCAAGUUCAAUCAGACUUUAUGUUCAGCAUCUGCCAAUGCCAACUGGUUUUGACAUAGAUUCUUAGAUGAAUUUAAGUCUGGGCUUUGACUUUGACCCACUGUAGCUCCGGGUGUUUUUUUUUGGUUUGCUGUCAUUGCAGGAAGGUGAACAUCAAGUCUUCUGCAGCAUCUCUCAGGUUUCCUUCACAUAUACUGUAUUUAGCUCCUUCAGUCUCCCGAUCACAUUUGACCAGCUUUCCUCACCCUGCUGAAGAAAAGAAUCACCACCACAGCAUGAUGCAGCCACUACCAUGUUACAUUGUAGGGAUUGUAGUCCGAAAAAGUUGAUCAGACCAGAGCACAUCCUUUCUACUUCUGAAGCUAACUGAAUGCAUUUGAUUUUAUUCAUGGUAUCAUAGCGUAAAGGGAUAUUUUCACUUCACACUUAUGCACUUGAAUUCCAACAAAGCACAUUAAAAUUUGUGGUUAUGUGAAAAAGUGUGGAAAAAGUUCACAAAAAGUGUGGAAAAAGUUCAAACGACAUAAAUAUUUUGCCAUGGGAUUGUAUUUGAGCAAAGUAAAUUCACUCAUGACUGAGCCGUGAUACAAAAGUUCUCAUUUAUUGAUUUAUUUCACUGCAUAUCUGUUAUUAAAACAUCUGCAAAAAAAAUAAAAUAAAGUCAACCUUACCCUCUAGGAUCCUGUGUGGCACGGUUAUUUCUUAUCAAGAUUGUUUUUAAAGCACAAAAGCAUCACACAGACUUUCUUUGCAUAGACUGCACCACCGUCGCUUUCCAUCAGACGCCUUAACAAGGCUGCACAGCACGAAAACACUUUGACCCCUUUUAAUUUGCUAUCCUCCAGAGUUUCUCUUACCCAGGGGCCUCCUCCUCUGUAAAUAGGAGGUAAGAGUGUGAAUAAUUACUUUAAUUGACCUGAACCCUUUGUGAUUAUGAUAGUUUAGCUGCCACUCUGCAGCAUUUACAAACAGUUUGAAACAGAGACAGGUUGAAGGGGUAACUGAAAGCAUUUUAAGCUAGAAUAUUGGAUAUUUCUGUUUUCCUCCUGACCAUUUUUCAUUAAUGUAAUAUUUACAGGGUAAUCUCAAGCAACGAUAAAAAAUACAACAUGGCUGAUUUUAUACUUGUAACUGGUUCAAAGAGUAAAUGACAAGGAGAGCAUCAGUGUAUGAGCUUUUUAUCUCUGGCACGCAACAAAUAUUUAAUACCUUAAUGCCAAGUAGUAGUGACAGUCCUUCAGGUUAUGCUCAUAGUUAUCCGAGUUUAUUCAAAUGUCAGUGUUUAUUUACAUAAUUGCUUUGAGAAGAGAUAUUAUAAACAGAAAUUGUUUUUUUUUGUUGUUGUUUGUUUGUCCAAUUGAGGCUGUUUAAUGAUGAACCUGGUGUUCAAAGUCAUCUUCUUUAUCCACCAACAAAAUAAACAGCAAUAGACUUUCAGCCAACCUGUUCAGUGACCCAAAAACAGAUGUAAAUGGUAAAAUGGUAAAUGGACUGAACUUAUGUAGCGCUUUUUCAAUCAUUCUGACCACUCAAAGCGCUUUACACUAGAGUCACAUUCACCCAUUAAGCACUCACAAACGCUCACACAUUUAUACACCGAUACGCAGAUCGGUAGAUGUGUUUGUACUUCACAAUGCUGAGUGUCAGGCAAGGACAACACAAGAAACAACCUAAAACAUACAUUUCUCUCACCAGCAAUGUUGCUUUUUAGUUAUAGGUGGACUCUAAACUGAGGUAAAUAAAUCUGACUUUAAAUGAGUCUUGAAUUACAUUGUCCAUUUAAAAACACAAAAACACUUAAAAUGAGUGUAAACUCUUCCUAUAAUCCAGUCAAGGCUUUUUUUUUUCUUUGAAUAAGUCUACAUGUUUUAGAAAAAAGUGCUUUUUCAUAUUGUUAACUCCAGAGGCUAGAUGCAUAAAUCAUGUGUGCACACACCCCUGCAUAUGCACACACACACAAAUAAACCAUACAUAUGCCUUCAACUACUUAUGCUAUGAGAAUAUUGAGCCUCAUUUUUCAGACCACUUAUUCAGCAAGUGAUUUCAGUCCAAUAGGAUAAAGCAAAAAUGAAAAAAAAAACGUGGAGAUAAUUUAUUAUGAUUGUAAAAGGUUUUACUGGACAUAAAUGAGAACUAACUAUCUGAAUACUAUACUAUACUGUGUGAAUAUAUUACAAA